AGUGAACGCUGGCGGUAGGCCUAACACAUGCAAGUCGAACGGCAGCACAGUAAGAGCUUGCUCUUACGGGUGGCGAGUGGCGGACGGGUGAGGAAUACAUCGGAAUCUACUUUUUCGUGGGGGAUAACGUAGGGAAACUUACGCUAAUACCGCAUACGACCUACGGGUGAAAGCAGGGGAUCUUCGGACCUUGCGCGAUUGAAUUAGCCGAUGUCGGAUUAGCUAGUUGGCGGGGUAAAGGCCCACCAAGGCGACGAUCCGUAGCUGGUCUGAGAGGAUGAUCAGCCACACUGGAACUGAGACACGGUCCAGACUCCUACGGGAGGCAGCAGUGGGGAAUAGUGGACAAUGGGCGCAAGCAUGAUCCAGCCAUACCGCGUGGGUGAAGAAGGCCUUCGGGUUGUAAAGCCCUUUUGUUGGGAAAGAAAAGCAGCAGGUUAAUACCCCGCUGUUCUGACGGUACCCAAAGAAUAAGCACCGGCUAACUUCGUG
rnacentral:rRNA from 1 species